rnacentral:rRNA from 1 species
UCAAUGGUCCGCUGAUAUAGUACAUGCAGUCGAGCGGACAGAAGGGAGCUUGCUCCCGGAUGUUAGCGGCGGACGGGUGAGUAACACGUGGGUAACCUGCCUGUAAGACUGGGAUAACUCCGGGAAACCGGAGCUAAUACCGGAUAGUUCCUUGAACCGCAUGGUUCAAGGAUGAAAGACGGUUUCGGCUGUCACUUACAGAUGGACCCGCGGCGCAUUAGCUAGUUGGUGAGGUAACGGCUCACCAAGGCGACGAUGCGUAGCCGACCUGAGAGGGUGAUCGGCCACACUGGGACUGAGACACGGCCCAGACUCCUACGGGAGGCAGCAGUAGGGAAUCUUCCGCAAUGGACGAAAGUCUGACGGAGCAACGCCGCGUGAGUGAUGAAGGUUUUCGGAUCGUAAAGCUCUGUUGUUAGGGAAGAACAAGUGCAAGAGUAACUGCUUGCACCUUGACGGUACCUAACCAGAAAGCCACGGCUAACUACGUGCCAGCAGCCGCGGUAAUACGUAGGUGGCAAGCGUUGUCCGGAAUUAUUGGGCGUAAAGGGCUCGCAGGCGGUUUCUUAAGUCUGAUGUGAAAGCCCCCGGCUCAACCGGGGAGGGUCAUUGGAAACUGGGAAACUUGAGUGCAGAAGAGGAGAGUGGAAUUCCACGUGUAGCGGUGAAAUGCGUAGAGAUGUGGAGGAACACCAGUGGCGAAGGCGACUCUCUGGUCUGUAACUGACGCUGAGGAGCGAAAGCGUGGGGAGCGAACAGGAUUAGAUACCCUGGUAGUCCACGCCGUAAACGAUGAGUGCUAAGUGUUAGGGGGUUUCCGCCCCUUAGUGCUGCAGCUAACGCAUUAAGCACUCCGCCGGGGGAGUACGGUCGCAAGACUGAAACUCAAAGGAAUUGACGGGGGCCCGCACAAGCGGUGGAGCAUGUGGUUUAAUUCGAAGCAACGCGAAGAACCUUACCAGGUCUUGACAUCCUCUGACAACCCUAGAGAUAGGGCUUUCCCUUCGGGGACAGAGUGACAGGUGGUGCAUGGUUGUCGUCAGCUCGUGUCGUGAGAUGUUGGGUUAAGUCCCGCAACGAGCGCAACCCUGGAACU